UACGUAGGGGGCUAGCGUUGUCCGGAAUCAUUGGGCGUAAAGAGCGUGUAGGCGGCCCGGUAAGUCCGCUGUGAAAGUCGGGGGCUCAACCCUCGAAUGCCGGUGGAUACUGUCGGGCUAGAGUACGGAAGAGGCAAGUGGAAUUCCUGGUGUAGCGGUGGAAUGCGCAGAUAUCAGGAGGAACACCUAUAGCGAAGGCAGCUUGCUGGGACGUUACUGACGCUAAGGCGCGAAAGCGUGGGGAGCGAACAGG
rnacentral:rRNA from 1 species